CUGAAAAAAGUACAGCCCCUAAUCACAGAAUGGCUUGGGUUGGAAAGGACCUUAAGCUCAUCCAGUUCCAACCCCCUGCCAUGGGCAGGGGCACCUCACCCUAGACCUAAUGAAGGCCUUCUAAUCAGAACUUUGUCCUCGCAGGUGACAAGGCCCUGAUGUGGGAACUGAGGAGCAGCUGACAGAUGGUGUUGCCUGAAGGACAGCAGAAACUAAAUGGGACUACCAAGCUGUGGAGCUUGGAGCCCUGGAAAAAGCCCACAGUGAUGCAAAAUGGCAGAGCUGUAUCAAACAAAAAACUGCAACUGCCAAUUAUUUUUUCCCUGCAAGAAGAUGCUUUAAUCGCUCAGAUUCUGUCUCCUUGAUGGCUCAGUUGAAUAGUUUACCUUUUUGAAGGAAAAACCAUACAUAAAGUAGAGCCCCUCAUUGUGAUGCUGUGUUUCUGAACGACACUUUCAGAGACAAACAAUAAAUAAUUCUUGGGGCUUUUCUUACUCUUUAUUAAAAGAAGAACUGAAAGCACAUUCAGCAGGAGAUUUCCAUUUCUCAUUAAGCAGUUCAAGCUACACUUGGAUGAGAACUUUCUGAAGAUUUCCCAUCUGCUGUUGCACUACCAUUUGUGACAACUCCAAAAAUAAGCACGGUGGUGGGUUUUUACGACUGCAUCACCUCUCCUACCGUUCAGUGACUGUGGCAAUAUACCGGUAACAAAUCACAGUAGCCAGAAUUAUCGGGUUGCGUUGAAAGUGGUUGCAGUGUCUACAUCAACGUAUGAAUAUAAAUGCUAGUUACAGUUGAGGCAGGAAUUAUUCACUUUAACAGGAGCUUUGAAGUUUUAUUUUUAAAAUUCCCUUUAAAAUCACCUAUAAAAAUGAAAAGUAAUUUUUGAGUCAUAAAAUUUUCAUGUCAUCAAUGAAAAUUAGGUUGGCACAAAAAGACUUACAGAUUAAACCAUCAAUAAUUGUGACAGCUAGAAAAAUGUAAUCAAAUCUUUCUUCAAAAGACUAAACCACUCUAAUCUCCCCACCUUGUUUCGACUGUUGUUUCUCAGCUGGUCAUCAGUUUUCUGUUGAAGAUAUUUGCCUGAAUUUUUCAUUUUUCCAUGACAAAAAUAACAUAAAUAAAUCAGAGCUAAGCCCAAGUUCCUACCUCUGGCAACAAUUGUGUUUCAUGUUGAGAAAAGAAAGCUCUCUUGCCACCAAGCAUGACAGAUGACACACUGGUCUCACAGCAGAAGAGACUCUGCCCUGCUUCCCAUCAAAACACACCCCAACAUCCCUAAUUUUGAAACAUGGAAAUAAAAAUAGUUAAAAAAGAACCCAACAGAAGCAAAGUCUCUUGCUACUGACAUUGCUAUCUCCCAAAGCUAUCAAGAACCUUAUAUACCUCAGAGUCAGAUUUACAAAGUGAUAAUGAUGCACUUUCCCCACUCUCCUAGUUACUGGUCACUACAUCUGCUGGUGAAAUUCUGUCAAGGACCCAAAACUAUUUUGAGUCCUUGGAAGGUUUUGCAGUGGACUACAUAUCACAUGGCAUUUUGAUAUACAUUGAUUUGGAAAUGGAAUCUAUUGAGGAGAUAGAUAGAAGAGUAUUUUAUGCACCCAACAAAUAUACAUACACAUGCACACACAUAUGUACUACAGUACUAAAAUCAAAGAAAAGUGAGCUGCUGAUAUCUUUGAAUAGAGUUGCUUUUGUGUAUAGGAAGAUAUAUCUGCAGACUUAAGAGUUACAAAUUCAGUGUUUAGACAGUUUUCAACACUCAGGUUCAUGGGUAAUUUUUUUCUUGCUUUAUGACUUGCAUUCAUUCAUGUAUUUGGCAGCAAUUUUAAGGUCAGGAAUUACCUGGAUCUUUGAAUUUUGUAGCUUACUCUUCCAAGGUGCUGAAAAGACAUGGAAGCCAUUAUUUACCCAUCUCUUGCAUUCCCAGUAGAUCCUCUUCAGCCGUAGCAUUCUCCAAAUGUGCAAAUACUGAAUUCAUGAAUCGUGUAUUGAUAUAAAUUAUUGAAAUCACAAAUGACUACAUUUGUACCUUCCUCUGCUGCAAUAUUUAUAAAUGGGAUUUGUGUGCUAUAGCACGUGUGCAAGGGUGUGCAUUUCUCUGGUGAGCUCUCUGCUACCUCUGAAUUUUAGGCAAGGCCAGUAACCCACUCUUCCUUUUCCUACCCAUGUUUUUGUUUGUACUCUUUUGAAAUCCUGAUUAAAGUGCAACAUACCUGACACACAACAGCUCUAAAGGAGAUUCACGGUUUGAAAACAUCUACUUCAGGUCACUGCUGUUUCAAAAACCACCUAGGUUGUUUUUUUCUGUCUUUCAGAUACUCUUUGUGGUCAUCACGGAGCGUCUGCUGAUCACAUUAAAAAGCACACAAACAUGUACUUCAUCACCCUUUUGUGAAUCUCAGGAGAGGGGUGAAUGCCUGAAUGGAACUGGCUGAUGAUUAUUUCUCCAAAGCCUCAUCUCCAGGGGACAGCAAUAGUAGGCCAGCAGGAGAAAGCUGCUGUUGUAAGGGUUUGUAGGUCAUUAAUUACCCAUACUUGAAAAUCUGGCCAAGUUCUUGUAGAGUUAAUGCCUUUAGAUGUUAUCCUGUCUGAAGCAUAAGGUAAUAUUUGUUUUGUGCUAUUCACAAAGCUAAUGGGAACCUUAAACGGCAUACAUGCCAUUAGGCUAUGGUGCUGUACAUAAAGGAUGAGAGGGAAUACAUACUACAACCAUUUUAGCUUGUAGUAUUUGUUUCAUGGUUUGGACUAAA